rnacentral:lncRNA from 1 species
CACAAUCAGAUCGACCCUAAACGCUAAGACUACCAAAAGAACCAAAACGCUAAGAACCCAUCUCUCUCGCGAUGCAACCCUAAGCGCCGUCGACCUCUACCUCUACCGGCGACAAGAUCGACCCUUAUCUCAUUCGUCUUCUCUCUCUCACUCGCUCGCAGUCGUCCUAAGCGCCGUCGUCCUCUCUCUCACUCGUCAAAUCGAAC